GGUUACCGAUGCUGUGAGGCGGCGGAGGGGAAGGUGCCGCCGUCCCCUUAGCGGGGUGGACGAGGGUCUCGGCCCGACUGGGUCGGGACGUAGCGGCCCCGCACCACACCCAGGUGGCCGCAGGCGAGAGUGCCCGCCGGGUGAGGUUGCCUGCCAAGGUGGGGCUGCCUGUCCGGGCGGGAGGCUCAUUCGGCGCCUUUAGAGAGCCCGUUGUCCUCCUUGCGGUGUGAAAAAGAAAUAAUAAAAAUGAGUGAACCAGACCAUGGAACAUUCUUUACAACUCGUAGGAUGAGUGAUGUAGAAAAUCUGGUGAUUCCUAUAAGAGAUGGCCCUUUCAGCUCUAAGUAUAAACCUGUUGACUACAAACAUCUAUAUGAACUUGCUGCAGUAGAAAAAAUGGCAUCUGAAAAAAUUCAAUUAAAGAUUGAAAAAACAGAGCAAAUUUCAAAAAAUAACAAAGAGCGAAUGCUGCUGAAACAGCAUUGGCAAGUGUGGUGGCAAGAGCAUAAAAGACUGAGUGAGAACAGUCAAAAAGCAGAAGCAGAAAUAAAGUCUUUUCUUGAUGAAGAAAGCCAUAAGUACAACUUUUUUCUGCAUAUGAAGGACUUGGAGCAUAAAUUAUCAGAGGAGCGGGAUACAUACCAAACAAAUACUAUAGCUCCUAUCUGGCAACUAAAAGAGAAUUUGAAAUUAUGGCUGAUUGAAAUGCAGUGUUACGUCUCAGAAGAAUCUUGUCUGAAAUCUAAGAUCAAUCCAGUUGAGAUGUUACAACAGAUCAAAUUUGUGAAGAAGCAACAGAAGGCAAUUUUGGAAUUCCUUAUUCUUGAAAGUUUGGCUUUGGAAAGAGAGAUUGAAGACUAUAAAACAAAACAUUUUUCAUCACAGGCAUUAGCACAUUCUUUUGAAGAGAAAAAUGGACUUUUCCUUGAAGUUCCUUCAGCACUACUGUCUUUGGAAUGCCCCUGCCCUGAUUUGAAGACCUUCCUUAUCAAUGAAUACCGAAAGCUUGCAAGCGGGUACUGGUCUAAGCUUCAAGAGAUUGAUCAACAGCUAGAAGUUUUAUGUAGGAACACUGAAUGGAAUGAAGAAGAUCAGUGGGUUUUCCAGACUGUUAUCAAUCAGUAUGCGAGUGAUCUUCACAAGAGGACGAAAUUGUGCCUCGAUGCGCUGCAGAGAUACCUUCCUCACAAAUCUAGGCGUGAUCUGGUUGUUCAUAAGAAAGCUUGGGAUCAUUACCAUUUCAUUAGGAGUCAGCGCAGAGCCUUGAUAUUAGAUUGGGCUCAAACUAGGAAAGCCUUUUUGCUUAAGGCAGUGACGACUGCUGCUGAAGCCUUGGCUGCUCAUGAGAUGGAAGUAGUGCUGGCUAACACCAGACAAAAGCAACAGGAAAUUUGUGCUAACCUGAAAGAAAAGGUUCUACAGUGGAAAGCACAGCAGGAAGAGGCUGCUAAACUCGAAGCUGCUAUAACUGCUAGAAGAAAAGAAGAGAAAGAUAAGAAAGAAAGGCUACAGAAAGAACAGGAAAUGAUUUGUAGAGCUCAGGAGAAAGAGCAAGUGAAAAAGUACUGGGCUGAGAAACAGCUCAAAUGGCAAAAACAGGAAGAGAAAAAUCUACAACAUCUAGAGGAAUUAAGAAAAUUAAUGGCUGAACAAGCAGUUAAAGACAGAGAAAGCAUGAGCAAGAUGAUGAUCUCCUUAGGAUAAAAUAGUAAUGAAAACAUGAAGCACCUUCUUAGGAGCAACAACUGCUGCAUCAAGAUGCUGAGUCCUUGCUUUGCCCUGGUCUCCUGUCAGUGACUUUGACAACCAAUUGCAGUCACUUACACCUAUUCAAACAGGGGUAAAGUUUAGGCAAGCAUUACUAGAAAAACGGUUGCUGAAGAAAAAGGAACUAGCCCUUCAAGCAGUAUGUGAAGAAGAGGAAAAAAAGAAAUGCCUUGAACUGCUCCGACAACAGGUUGCUGUUGUUGCAAAAUUAGAUCCAGCUAGAGUAGUGGCUGAUACAGUGGCAUCUAAAGCUCGGAUGGGCAUCGGAACCAAAGAAGAGUUUGAUAUUCAGAAGCCACUGUUUCAGUUGCAUACAUACAAUGAACAGCAGAUCAUUUCUGACCCUAGACUUCGUGUUGAGCUAGCUCUUCGAGAAGCUGGACUUUAUAAAACACUUUAUGCAAAAGAGAUUUUACCAAAAAUUCCUCCACUGAAGCUUCCAAGAAGAGAUAUGGAAUCUACAGCUUUUAAAAUGUGAACACCUCUCAUACCAGGAGUAGAGAAGCUUCAGGGAUAUUGUCUGGCCUAUAAUGUGGAAACUUCAAAUAAAUUUCCCUUAGACCGUGCCAUAGAACUAUGUAGUUCUCGAUGUAUGCAAUCAUUCAAAAAACCAACAUGUCUUUCUCAUGCAGGGUACCCCAUUUUCCACCUGCCUUGGUGAAGGUUGAACAGAGGUUUGGUGGGUGUAGGCUGUUGUGGUGUCAUUUCCCAUGUCCCCUUCUACUGGGAGAUAGGACAACUGUACGUGAAGGCCUCCUCAGACAUUACAGGCCAGUCUGAUGCAUAGCAUCUUGAGUAGGAACUCUGUUUUUUAAUUGGCAGCAUAAAUCCAAAAUAGACUUGCGGAACAGCCACUUUAAAUUGUGACACAUGAAUACAUCCCACGACUUUCAUUGCAGGUUUCUUGAGAAUUUGAUUUUUUUAAUGAAUGUUUUUAUUAUUCCUUGAUUAUUAUAAAAAGAAACUUAACCUUUGUCUAUAUUUAGAAACAAAUUUGCUGCAUCAUAUUUACUGCAAGCCAGUCAUGCAAUUUCAUGUUGCAGAUUAGUCUUUCAGUAUAAAUUAUAAAUUAUAAAUAACAUUUCAGAUCUGGGAUCUUUAUUUUGGAGCUGAAACUACUGAAUAGGGAUCUAUUUAAAUGAAAGGGAAAUAGAUGUGAUUCCAUUUUGUAACUGACUAUGUUUUCAAGUCUUACGUGAGUGUAAAAUGUAUGUAAACAAGUUAUAAUUAGCAGUUUAACCAAACAUUUCUAAGGACGAUGAAUAUCAGAGAGAUCUGAACAUCCAUAGUUGUGUAUCUGGAUAAUUACAGGAAUUUCAUUAAGGUAAUAUUGUAAUGCCUUAUAGGCAUUAACGGAUCACAUGCCUCCAACACCUUGUGAAACAGACAGUAACUGUUGAAGUGAGAGACUGAGGAUCAGGGCAGCUGAGAGCCCAGUCUGUGCUCUCCCAGCGGAGCCCACGGUGCAGGCCCAACAAACACCAAAAGAGAGCGGUUUUACUGCUAGCCACUGUAUAGCACCUCCUUCCCUGGCACAGACAACAGGCCCUCUUCUCUUGACAUAUUUGGUGACUCUACACCAAAUGUUUUGUAAUCAGAGACAAGCAAUGUUGAAUUUUCACACUCAAACUGUUAAUAACAUUGGCAAAAUCUUGUAGCGUGAGCCUGAUCUCAGCAGGUGUCUCAGCACCUGGGGAAGGGAGGUUUGCUCCAGCACGGGUGUGCAAGGGUGCAAAGCCAGAGCAGACGGAGACUGUAAGAAGGGUGCCAGAAAGGCAGGGGAAGAGCACAUGCAACAGACUCCUGAGUGCAAGCAAAUUUAAGACCAGGAUCAACGUAAUGUGAGUAUUGAAGCUAUGUUAUUUUAAUGGGGGAAGAAAAUGCUACAGAGACUGCCCAAAAGCCAUGGGAGCUGUUUGUCUUCUGGAUGUAGCUUUUGCAUGUUUGUGUUAGAAUUACUAUUUUGUGUGUAUUUGUGCAUUUUAUUUUGGUAUCUCAUUUGGGGUAACUUAUUAUUUUUAAAACACACUUGGCCAACUUCACAACUUGUUGGAUGUUCCUGCAGGGAGACCAGCACUGCUUUUCUUCUAUUUAGAGGCCAGAUUGGCUGCUAGACUGCUUUCCCAGAACAGAAGAUUCCAAACUUAAGGCAACUGAUUUUUUUAUUUUUUUUUUUAACUUGCCUUUAAAAACAGAUCUGCGAGAUAGUCUUGGUGGUGGAGAAUCUUUUCAGAUUAUAGUUGUCAUCUUUUAUAAAUUCCAAGACAUUUAUGAAAAAAAGAAAGAUUAAAUGAAGCUGACAUGUUUUUGAAAUAAAGGGCACUGAUUUUUAGGCACUGUCUUGCGAUUGUCUGUUGUUUCUCAGGGAAUAGGCUGAGUAGAAGCCCGCUUACAUACAUGAGUGUGCCAACUCACUGCAACCAUGAGUUGGGGCUUGUUAUUGAUAUGGUGAGGCUGGAAUGAAGAUUUUUAGAAGGAUUUUCAUGUAACAGUGGCGCGUGGAAAACAAGCAGGUCAGUGAAACUUGCUUGAAGUAUUUUGCUUAGCGCACGGAGAGGCUGCUCCUGCAGACUGCCUCAGCCCCUCUCCCUAGCCUGGCCAACUGCCUCUCUCCUGUGCCUCUGUGGGAAGGAAGUGGGUGUUUCCUUUUACUUCGUCAUGCUCACCUUAGCACUGUUCACAAAAGAUGACCAAAUCCCUUCAGGAAAUGGAGAUGCUUAUAAGAAUGUUUGUUUUCAUGAUAAAUGC